rnacentral:ncRNA from 1 species
GAAAGGCCGCUGUCGUCGUCACGUGCGGCUGGAUGCUUCAUACCGGCAUCCCAAUUAAG